UAAUACUCCAAAGGGGAGUAGCUGUACAACAAAAGUCGUCACUACGAAACAGAAUGUUUCCGGCUUUGUUGGCAAUCUUAAUUGUUAGCAAGACCUUUGCCUACAUU
rnacentral:sRNA from 1 species